rnacentral:rRNA from 1 species
UCAUUACCGAGUUUUUAUCAACUCCCUUACCCCAUGUGAACGUUACCAUACCGUUGCUUCGGCGGUGCGGCCCCGGCGGCCCGGCUCCCUGCGAGCCGGCGCCUGCCGGGCUCAGGCCCCCGCCGGAGGACCCAAACUCCAUGUCUUUUUGCGAGUCUCUGAGGCGGCCCUGGGCCGAUCAAAAAAACAAAUGAAUCAAAACUUUCAACAACGGAUCUCUUGGUUCUGGCAUCGAUGAAGAACGCAGCGAAAUGCGAUAAGUAAUGUGAAUUGCAGAAUUCAGUGAAUCAUCGAAUCUUUGAACGCACAUUGCGCCCGCCAGCACUCUGGCGGGCAUGCCUGUUCGAGCGUCAUUUCAACCCUCUGCCGCCCCCCGGGGCGGCGGGCUCUUGGGGGACGGCCGGCCGCCUCGCGCGGCGGUGCCGCCCCCGAAAUGCAGUGGCGACCGAGCCGCGAACUCCUCUGCGCAGUAGACUUGAGGCCCCUGCGGCCGAACGAGACUCGCACCGGAUAGCGGAUCGGCCCCGCCGUGAAACCCCAAACUUCUGAAAGGUUGACCU